UACAGAGGGGGCAAGCGUUGUUCGGAAUUACUGGGCGUAAAGGGCGCGUAGGCGGCCUUCUAAGUCGAACGUGAAAUCCCCGGGCUCAACCCGGGAACUGCGUCCGAUACUGGAAGGCUUGAAUCCGGGAGAGGGAUGUGGAAUUCCAGGUGUAGCGGUGAAAUGCGUAGAUAUCUGGAGGAACACCGGUGGCGAAGGCGGCAUCCUGGGACCAACACUGACGCUGAGGAGCGAAAGCCAGGGGAGCAAACGGG
rnacentral:rRNA from 1 species